rnacentral:lncRNA from 1 species
GGAGGUAGGGCUCCAGGGGCCAAGGUGGACCUGUUGCCAACAGCAGAUGUUCUCCCAGUGUGGGUGGGCUUCCUCCAUCCUGUCCAGGGUAACCAGCGGAGGACGGAGGCUUUACCCUUCCCCUCCUGCCUGCCCGAGCUGGGACGCCUGUGAGCUCAGGGGACCUGCCACUGGCCGGCCUGGCUCUCCAUCUGCCAACGGCAGGCGCUGGUGCCCCAGAAACCCCUCGCUCUCUCCAGUGGCUGUUUCUUGGAGAGCCCUGAUUUACAGAGGCGAAUGACGAAUCCAAGGUCACCAGGGUCUGGUCUGCAACCAGCGGUGGGGCCUCCUGGCCACCCCUCCCUCGUGUCCCCUCAGAGCCUCAGGACCUGCUGGGACCAGGAGGGGGCUGAGUGGGUCCGACAGGCUCCUCAACAGGGGAGGUGGGGCAGGAGAGCCAGGUGCAGAGUGGAGGGUGGGCAGAGGGAGGUGGAGGCCGGCACGCCCCUCCCCUCCCUGCCUCCCUCUCCUCUUUCUCGGUUCUAAUCUCAACUUUUGGGAGGUGGCCAUGUUUCUCUUAUCAAAACCAACUUUGAAAAGAAGGAUCCUUUGUAGCCGACUGGUGAGACCCUCGCCUGCGGCCUGGAGGGAGGGCCCGGGGGCAAAGACUGAGAGGUGUUCCUGGAAGCCCAGAGCAGCUGCCAUCAGCCUCAGGGAACGUGGACCUGCAGGCGGGAGAGGAGUCUGCAGAAACCGGGAGCCGGACCUGCCCCAAGGGGGACCAGAGGAGAGGCCACGCCCGAGCCGGCCCCUGAGCUGCAGCCUCUGUGACCGGGAAGCAGAGUGGGCCAGACUGCUCCGGCUUCAGUCCUGCGCCAGCCACAGGGUGUUACCUGCGUUAUUUAAGCAAAACAAAGCGUGGGCUGUUUUCACGGCAGAGCAGUCCCUCUCUUCCUGGGCCUCCUUUCCUGUGAAUUAACAGAAACAAAUCGAAUCUGCCAGCCAGCCUGCUGCAUGGCUCACAGGAUCAUUCAGAUCCUCAUUCAAGGGGUGAAGUGGAUCAAUUUCUCCCUUUGUUCUUCUGCCCACAACCCGGCAGUCAGGAGGCUUUGAGUCCCGGAUGGACCAGGCACCAUGGCAGAAUUCAUUGAUAGAUCCGAGGGUGCCAACGCUGGGGGCCAGAGGGUCCCUGUCUCCCCAGGACCGUCCUUCCUGAUGGGUGGGUGCUCAGCAUUAACAGAGCUGCGCUGCCGUUGUAUGGUGACAUGCCGUAUGUCAGGCCGAGCCUGGAGCCCAGUGAAAACUUGCAUUUACUCACACAACUGGCAGUUUUGCAAACGACCCGGGUGGGCGGAGCUUUACCAGGUCCUGAGCCCCGCAGGGGACAGUGCCAGGUGGGUGGGACUGGCAGGGCUGGCCAGGGUCCUGAACCCACCAGUGCUUGCUCACUCUCCCCCUCUCCCCUGACCUGCAGGGUCCUCCCUGGGCCUCAUGUUCAGCCAUUCCCCUUCCCGGCCCCACCUAGGCCAUCCCCUAAGGUCAAGGGCACGUGAGGCUCUGGGGUCUCUAGGCCUGGAGCCAGUCCCGGGUCCCUCUCCCUCUCUACGUCCAGCCCUCAGGAACAGCUUCCCCUGGUCUUGAACACACACAGCCGCACACACAGGCAGCGCUGGACCCCAGGGCCAGGAGGGCGGCGUCCACCUCAGGCUGAGGUGGGCAGAUCCAGCUCUCGGGGAUCACAUUCCCACACAGGCAGCCAGACUCUGCUGUUGUCAUGGAAAUCAGAGCGCCUCUCUGGCCUCUGUCCUUGUCUCCCUGCUGUCCCUUGCUGGCCUGUCCCCAGAGCUGUGCCACUCAAGUGUGGCCGUGGGAGGAGCUGCAAGAGAGAUGGCUCCAUCCAGGGCUGUGCUGGCAGACCCCAACUGCCCCAGGUGGUGGGCCUCGGUGGUGGAAGACACCAGAGUCUGAGAUGAGGCCUCGGGAUGCGGGGACUUGGUGCAGGAGACGCAGGGCCCACCACCAUGCACACAGCUGCCCAGAGACAAGGGCACGGCCUGCUGGUCACACACGUCUGAUGGGCAAAGGCGCUGGACAGGCCCAGGACACAAAGCCUCUUUCCUGGAGUCCAGCCAGGCCAGUUUCCUUCGAGCCCAGCUGAACAGUGUUGACCGGGCCCCCAGGUUGGACGGGGCAAGUGGACUGUAGCGCUGCCCCAGGACUCCGGCUCCUGAUGGGAGCUGGCGUCUGCCCGUCCGCAGGUGCGUGGGUGGGCUCGUGGCACAGGUCUCCACGGGCAUCUGUGGGCGUUGGUGGCUGUGGCAGGGGAUGGAGUUACAUAAGCUGCUGCGUGAUUUCUCCACCCAAAGCCUUGACGGUGGCGCUGCUGCUCCUGAGCAGUGGGGAGCAGCCCUCGAGGUUGGAGAGAAGGGAGGCUUGUGGGGGGAGGAGGGGGGCGGGGCGGAGGGGAGGAGGAAGGGUGCAGAGACGGCCAUGCUUCCCGUCAAGUCACUGCAUUUAUUUUGGGUAGUGGGGAUUGAUGCAGGUGUGCUCUAUCACUGAGCUACACCCCCGUCUUUUAGUUUUUAUUCUGGGGCAGGGUCUCACCAAGUAAGUUGCUUAGGCUGGCCUCAAACUUGCGAUGCUCCUGCCUCAGCCUCCUGAGGCGCUGGGGUCACAGGUGCAGCCGUGGCACCCAGCCUCACCCCCACUUCAGUGCUGGAGGACGCAUGGCCCUCACCGUUGGGCUACGGGCUGCCCGGGGGUCUCACCAGCAAGGUCCAGGGUGCGCAGGGCCGGGAGGCUCCGGGGAGAACCUGCUUCCUUCUCUUUUCCAGCUUCUGGUGGCUGCCCACAGUCCUGGUGUGGCUCCUUCCCCCAGCUCCAACCCAGGACGUGGCUCUGACCUCUCCGGCCUCCCUCCUCCACCGUGAAGGACCUGUGAUCACGCUGGCCACUUGGAUGAGCCAGGAGACUCUCCCUUCUCGGGGUCCACCAGAGGAGGCCCCUCUGCUUGGCGAGGUAACAUGUCCGUGGAGAUGGGUUCCUUCGGAACACGACGGUUCUGAGGUUAGGGUGUGGUGUCUUUGGGUGGUUAUUCUGCCCACCCCAAAGACCCUGGAGAAACCAAGAACCCCACUGGGUCACCUCACAAGCCCCCUCUUUCUACUUAAAUAGUGGACCUCUCGGCAGUGAAGUGGACCUUAGGGGUUUGGUCGAGAGGUUCCCACGGCACAUCCCCCAGGCUGCCCGGUGCCCUCCUGCCCAUGCGCAGGUGACUGUUGCUGUGAUUCUUUCCUUGCGUAGCCUUGUCCUCAGAGGCCAGGCGGCGGGUUCUGGGUUUGGACGGAGUCCUUCACAUCUCCUCCGUCCCCUUCAGAGUCUAGGCCUUCAGGACUGCUGUGCCAUUCCUGCAAGGCACUUCCCGUCUGGUGCGUCUGACCCUCUCUCUUGCGUGUGGGCCCAGAUGCCCCCAGGAGCCUGUGGCUUUGCCUGUGGGACUGUCCUCUUUUCUGUCACCCUAAGUCUCCAUCAGGACUCCCCCGACUUUCUGUAAGACGUUGGAACAUGCAGUUUUCUGUGUAGAUGGGGUCCUACCAAGUCCUACAAGGUCCUCUUUCCUGGCGUCCUGUGGGUUGGUCCUUUCAGUUCCUGAACUUCACAGAGAGGGGAGCCCCAGCCUGUCCCUGGGGUCUGCCCCUUGUCCCGGGGAGGGUCUGCAGGAUGCACAGGUUCUCCACGAGCACCUCCUAUGGUGGCCGUGGGGUGCUCCCAGUACCCACAAUGUACUCACGUGUGCUUCUGCUGACGGGCACUUGAGACUCUGGCCACCAAGAAUAAAGCUGCUCGUGAACAUCCCUGGAUCUGUCUCUGGUGGCCCCGAGGCUGAGCCUUGGGCAGUGGGGCUGCUGGGUGCCCACAUGUCCAGCUCCAGCAGAUGCUGCCAGGCCAUCUGCAGAGCGCUCUUGGGUGCCCUGCCCUCUGGGUGGGUGUGUCCACCACGCCACGUCCUUGCCGGCACUUGAUCUGGGGAGUCUUUUCCACGCUGGCCGUUCUGGUGGGAGGAUUCUGUUCUUAAAGGCCCUUGGAGGGGGUCUUUCCUGGGAGGGAUUUGCCUGAGGAUUCAGACUCACUUUCUAGAUACCAUGAUCCCCAAACUGUCCCCACCCUGCGUUCCUCCACGUUGCCACCUCCUGCGCCCUGGCUCUGAGGUCUGAGGAGCGUCUGAGUCUCCCUUCUCUAUCUCUACCACCUCGCAGUUCUCUGGGCUGCUGUGACGCUGUCCUUUGGUGCCCCUGCCUGUUCUUGCCGAGGUCCUUCCACUUCCAGCUGUGGCCGUGUGAGAAGCCGGGCACGUCUGUCUCUUUGACUCUGUUUUAGUUCAAAAGCAUGAUAGCGAAUCUGUGCGGAGACGGGCACGGAGCCUGUGCAAGACUCAGGUGCAGGCCUGUUGCCGUGUUCUUGGCAGAGGCCACGUGGAGGCAGCCCAUGCCCCUGGACAGGAGGAUGGCCAGACAGAAUGUGGCAUGUCCACCCAGUGGAAGGUUAUCUGACUGUAAUGAGGAGUGAAGCACCAGGCAGGCUGUCGUCAAGGUGGCUGGACCUUGAGGACACUCUGCCCUGUGCAGUGAGCGUCACAGAGGGUGGCUCUGUUCCACUGGGUCUGCAACAGGCAGGUCCAGAGAAGGAAGUGCACCAAGGUCGCCGGGGUGGGAGAGCCGCAGGGGCGGGAGCCAGCAGCUCUUCCCUGGUGGGUGUGAGUUUCUAUUUGGGGUUUUGACCAAGUUCUGGAAGUAGAUGGUUGUGGUUGUGUGACAUUGUGACUGUGCUUGGUCCCAUUGACCUGGACCCUGAAAGCAGAUGUCAUGAUAAGUCCCAUGUUGUGUAUAUUUUACCACAAUUUAAAGCCCAGUGGUGUGAUCUGCCAGAGGCUGCUGAGGUCUGCACUUCAGAUGGACACCAGGCCCGCACAUGGGUGGUAUCUCAGUGGAGCCAUUAGGAGCCCUGGCCUGGGUGUCCAGCUCCUCUCUCCAACCAGGCUGACCUCCUUCAGGUGUGAGAGCUGGCUGCGGGGUCUUCUGAGCAAGGCCAGUGCUCCCAGUCUGGUCCUGCCACCUGACGCCCCGGUGGUCACCCUGCCUUGCUGGACCUUUGUUCUCCGUGAACGUCCCGGUCAACCAGCUUCAGUUUGUCCCAGCCUCUGGGGCUCUGCUGGGAGUGGCUCUUGCCCCCCGGAGAGUUCCCACCUCACCCAGAGCCCGCUCAUCUCUCAGGCUGGGCACCCCCCCCACCACGGGGGUCUUCCCUGCGUCCCUCUGAGGAGGAAGCCGCUGCUCCUGGAGCACAGGGUUCUCGGCCUUCUCCAGGAGAAGACCUCAGCGUUCCCAGAGGGGCUGUUUCCGGUCACUCCUUCUGGCCACUGGUCAUGCAGGGAGGGGACGGCUGGAGAGGUGGACGGCUGCUGGAGACCUUGGGUCCUGGUGUCAGAGCACCAUCGGAGGAGCAGGGUGUGGCGUGCACAGGUGACAGAACACCCUGGGCGCAGUCUUCUCACCAAAGCCAGGCUCUGACAUGCACGCGUCACGCUCCCACACGGGCCUGUGCCUGAGAGGACAGCCUGCUGCCUUCCGCCCGUCGGCCCUCUCCCCUGGACUGCUGUGCCCAGCUUCCCUCCCUGGCUAGACGGGAGGUUCCCUGGGGGUGCCGUCGAGGGCUCCCUCACCCUCCAUUUCCCGCUCACCUGCAUGCAGGCUCCAUCACCGUGCCCAGCCCCUUGCGGUCAUCUCAUCUCCCGAGGCCCCCUGCAGCUCAGUCCACCCGAGGUCUGUCCACUCUGAGGUUCACACCCUGUCUGCCUCAUCCCUCACCAAGGCCAGCAGCCUGGUGACGGCCCUGUCUUAGUCCCCAUGGCCCUGGGGAGCCCCCUCACACCCAGGGUCUCAGAGUCGGACAUCGACUAAGCCCCACUUCCCCAGUGAACCCGCUUCCCAUGUGACUGGGUGACAAAUCAUAUCUAGGACAGAGCCUGUUGCCUGUCAUCUAUGAUCUGGUGGUGCCUGUGUCACCUGUCACUCAAUCUGCAGUCACUCGAUGCUGGCAUCACCUGGACUCGCAGAUAGGGAGACUGAGACCUAGGGACACUCUGUGAGAGGCUCAGGCCCAGAGCCCGGAGGCCGUGGUGGGACUUGAACCCAGCCCGCCUGACUGGUGGCUUUUGGUGCCCACAGCUCCGCCCGGCCCUCAGGUGAGCACGCACGGAAAAUGUCUUCUUUAUUUUCUUGGCAGGGCAUCUUCUUAUUGCUGUUGCUUUUUAAUUUCCUGCUCUCUCUAAGGAAGCCUCUGUGCCUGUGGUCUGAGAAUGUCCCCUCACCCAGGGACAGUGGCCUUGACCGUUGGCGCCCCUCCGCCCUGCACACGCGCUUCCCCGGGUUUGCAGCCAAAACCCGGCGGCUGCCGUCCAGGAGGAUGGGCCUGGCCACGGUGCCGGCUCCCGCUCCACGGCGGGAAGCAGAUUUCCCAUUAAAAGGCAGAUCUUUAUUUCAAAAGGUUGAAUAGGAGGCAACUUAAAAAAGGAUUUCCAGCUGGUUAAAUUUAGGGCGCGCGCAGAGGUCCGCCGAGGAGCGGCUGGCGGUGCGCCUGCAGUCUUGACGGGCGCGCUGCUUUUCACUUUCAGGCCUGCCUCUCGGCGCUCUUCCCCUUUUGAGUUGGGCAAAUAAAUGCUGAUGGCGUGUUGGCCGGAGUGGCAGCGCCUGCUUACCCAAAAUGGUCUGUUUCAG